rnacentral:rRNA from 1 species
ACGAACGCUGGCGGCGUGCCUAAUACAUGCAGGUAGAACGCACAGUUUAUACCGUAGCUUGCUACACCAUAGACUGUGAGUUGCGAACGGGUGAGUAACGCGUAGGUAACCUGCCUGGUAGCGGGGGAUAACUAUUGGAAACGAUAGCUAAUACCGCAUAAUAUUAAUUAUUGCAUGAUAAUUAAUUGAAAGGUGCAAUUGCACCACUACCAGAUGGACCUGCGUUGUAUUAGCUAGUAGGUGAGGUAACGGCUCACCUAGGCGACGAUACAUAGCCGACCUGAGAGGGUGAUCGGCCACACUGGGACUGAGACACGGCCCAGACUCCUACGGGAGGCAGCAGUAGGGAAUCUUCGGCAAUGGACGAAAGUCUGACCGAGCAACGCCGCGUGAGUGAAGAAGGUUUUCGGAUCGUAAAGCUCUGUUGUAAGAGAAGAACGGGUGUGAGAGUGGAAAGUUCACACUGUGACGGUAUCUUACCAGAAAGGGACGGCUAACUACGUG